CUUGUUUAAAAGAAUAAUACACUUUGGUUAGUCAUACCUCUGUCUCUGUACUCUUUCGGGAUAAAAACCAAACCUGCAUUGGUUCUUUUUUACCCUUCAUAGAAACUGGACCCCUGUAUUCCAGGUGGAACUGAGGAUCUGAAUUUUCUGGUGUCAUAAGACACCUGUACGUAUACUCAGACACAUUGAUCUUUCCCUUUUCUCCAGUAGUUUCUGUCCUGCUUGUUAAAUUGACAGUAUUUCCAAACAGGCAGUAACGUGGCAUCCUUUGGCCUAUGACACCUGUGACUACCUCACCAGUAUGGAUUCCUAUUGUUAUCUGUACAGGCUCCCCAUCUACUUGAACUUGGCCUGCUAUCUCCAUCAUAUCCAAUGCCAGGUGGCAGAUAGAUCGUGCAUGAUGAAUGCAAGGCUCUGGUAGACCACUCACAGUCAUAUACUUGUCUCCAACUGUUUCCACCUUGUAAACAAAUGGAUUCCUACGUGAAUCAGUUAGAAUAUCAAAUCUUGUGUAAAGAUCAUUUAAAAGAUUAACAAUCUUCAUAGCUCCCUC
rnacentral:lncRNA from 1 species